GCUAGUAAUCGCAGAUCAGCAUGCUGCGGUGAAUACGUUCCCGGGUCUUGUACACACCGCCCGUCACACCAUGGGAGUCGGAAAUGCCCGAAGUCUGUGACCUAACCGUAAGGAAGGAGCAGCCGAAGGCAGGUCGGAUGACUGGGGUGAAGUCGUAACAAGGUAAC
rnacentral:rRNA from 1 species